UACGUAGGGUGCAAGCGUUGUCCGGAAUUAUUGGGCGUAAAGAGCGUGUAGGCGGCCCGGUUAGUCCGCUGUGAAAGUCCAGGGCUCAACCCUGGAAUGCCGGUGGAUACUGUCGGGCUAGAGUCCGGAAGGGGCGAGUGGAAUUCCCGGUGUAGCGGUGAAAUGCGCAGAUAUCGGGAGGAACACCUAUGGCGAAGGCAGCUCGCUGGGACGUUACUGACGCUGAGACGCGAAAGCGUGGGGAGCAAACAGG
rnacentral:rRNA from 1 species